rnacentral:rRNA from 1 species
ACGAACGCUGGCGGCGUGCUUCACACAUGCAAGUCGAACGGAAAGGCCCUGCUUUUGUGGGGUGCUCGAGUGGCGAACGGGUGAGUAACACGUGAGUAACCUGCCCUUGACUUUGGGAUAACUUCAGGAAACUGGGGCUAAUACCGGAUAGGAGCUCCUGCUGCAUGGUGGGGGUUGGAAAGUUUCGGCGGUUGGGGAUGGACUCGCGGCUUAUCAGCUUGUUGGUGGGGUAGUGGCUUACCAAGACUUUGACGGGUAGCCGGCCUGAGAGGGUGACCGGCCACAUUGGGACUGAGAUACGGCCCAGACUCCUACGGGAGGCAGCAGUGGGGAAUAUUGCACAAUGGGCGGAAGCCUGAUGCAGCAACGCCGCGUGCGGGAUGACGGCCUUCGGGUUGUAAACCGCUUUCGCCUGUGACGAAGCGUGAGUGACGGUAAUGGGUAAAGAAGCACCGGCUAACUACGUG